rnacentral:misc_RNA from 3 species
AACCCUUCAAGCACUGCUUGGUGUUGGGCGUUUGUCCCGCCUUGGGCGCGGACUCGCCUCAAAGACAUUGGCGGCCUGUGUAUUGGCUUCGAGCGCAGCAGACUCGCGCGUCGACUCCUCUAGCACUAGGCGUCCAGCAAGCCUAUUAUCUCAA